rnacentral:lncRNA from 1 species
GAUACAGAGGCUGGCUCAAGAAUAGCCACAAGCUGCCUGAUUUCUAUUUUACACCAUAAUUACAGUAGCAUACACUUUGGACUGACAGCAAUUCUCAGCAACAGAGUACUUUGGAAAUAUUAAUCUCACAUCAGCUAUUUGUGUUGAAUAUUGGCUUAUUCAGCAGGUGAUGUGAGCCAAUAUUAUCAUACUUUCAUAGACAGUAAAACAGAGUGAGAAUGAAGGAUUAAGUGACCCACCUAGGAUCAAGCAGUAUGUCCAAGAGAAAAACCUAGUUGGGCUUGGGGAUUACUGCCUCCCAGUGAUUGAAAAAUAUCUGCAAUAUUUCUGAGAAGCUAACAUAUAUACAUCUACAAUAAAUUAGAAAUUAUACUGGCUUGGGUUAGUCCUCCACUGAUAUGAGGGACAUUUUCAUUGCAUGGUAUUGCAAAAGCCAACAGACUUAAUGCUUUAGACAGCAACAGCCAGAUCCUCCAAAAUGUCACCAUGUUCCUCCAUGUGCAAGUCCCACAAACUGCAGUUUCUUAAAGGAGAGCUCAAUCUUCAGCUGGUGAUUAAUAUAAGCUGUGAUUUGCUUGUGAUUUGGCAAAAAUAGCCAAAGGUUUGACUCUUUUAACCUUGUCCUCUCACUAUUCAGCAUUUCCCAUUCCAUGAGCUGAGAGGGACUCGUACAGAUGGGACUGUUCCCCUGCUAUGGGGAUGGGCUACAUGGGGAGCAACAGGAGUUCUGUGUCCAUACAACUCAUACAAUAUCAAGUCUCAAGCUGCAGGAAUACUUUUGUUGUGUUUGGAUGAUUCACUAAUGAGAAGUACAGAAGACCCAUGAGGAUAUGAACAAUUUUCUCUUGUGUGCUCAAGCAACAGGCAGCAAGUAAGGCUUGGUGCAGUAUACAGAAAGUAAAAAACCAAAAGUAAAAUCAUAAAAUGGAUCCCAUCCAUGCUGUGCAAAUGAAGGACAGAAAACUCCCAGGAAAACCUCUGGGAAUUCAGCUGCACUUGAAUAACUCCAGUUAGUGUGAAGAGAGUGAUCAUGUAAGUCCUUGUACUUCUGUGAGGUAAGGUCCCAUUUGAACUUCUCAUUUGACAUUGGAUCGUAUUU